rnacentral:misc_RNA from 1 species
AAGCCCAGGCCAUUUGCCUCGGCGUCGCCCGUGCACUGGUGAAGAUCAGCACCGCAAACAAAGUUACUCUGAGGGGAGAAGGUUUGCUGACAAGAGACACCCGUAUAGUUGAAAGGAAGAAGGCUGGUCUUAAGAAGGCACGCAAGCGCCCGCAGUUCUCAAAGCGUUAGAGUAUGCACAACCUUGUUGUUAGACUCAUUUAAAAGUUUUACAUUCCACAGUUUGUAUUGGCCCUUCUCUGUUAUUUUCUGUGCAAAUUAUGUGCUCCUCACCACAGACUUGUAAUCUUCGUUCUCUGUAAGCAAUUUUAUUGAGGUCACAAAAGGCAAUUAUCUUGAAAU